rnacentral:rRNA from 1 species
UGGGGAAUUUUGGACAAUGGGCGAAAGCCUGAUCCAGCAAUGCCGCGUGUGUGAAGAAGGCCUUCGGGUUGUAAAGCACUUUUGUCCGGAAAGAAAUCCUUGGCUCUAAUACAGUCGGGGGAUGACGGUACCGGAAGAAUAAGCACCGGCUAACUACGUGCCAGCAGCCGCGGUAAUACGUAGGGUGCAAGCGUUAAUCGGAAUUACUGGGCGUAAAGCGUGCGCAGGCGGUUUGCUAAGACCGAUGUGAAAUCCCCGGGCUCAACCUGGGAACUGCAUUGGUGACUGGCAGGCUAGAGUAUGGCAGAGGGGGGUAGAAUUCCACGUGUAGCAGUGAAAUGCGUAGAGAUGUGGAGGAAUACCGAUGGCGAAGGCAGCCCCCUGGGCCAAUACUGACGCUCAUGCACGAAAGCGUGGGGAGCAAACAGGAUUAGAUACCCUGGUAGUCCACGCCCUAAACGAUGUCAACUAGUUGUUGGGGAUUCAUUUCCUUAGUACGUAGCUAACGCGUGAAGUUGACCGCCUGGGGAGUACGGUCGCAAGAUU